UACGGAGGGUGCAAGCGUUAUCCGGAUUCACUGGGCUUAAAGGGCGUGUAGGCGGGCUGUUAAGUCAGUGGUGAAAUCUCCAGGCUCAACCUGGAAACUGCCAUUGAUACUAUCAGUCUUGAAUUUUGUUGAGGUAGGCGGAAUAUAUCAUGUAGCGGUGAAAUGCUUAGAUAUGAUAUAGAACACCGAUUGCGAAGGCAGCUUACUAAGCAAAUAUUGACGCUGAGGCACGAAAGCGUGGGGAUCAAACAGG
rnacentral:rRNA from 1 species